AUCACUCCUACGGGAGGCAGCAGUGGGAAUAUUGCACAAUGGGCGCAAGCCUGAUGCAGCCAUUCCGCGUGUGUGAAGAAGGCCUUCGAGUUGUAAAGCACUUUCAGUAGGGAGGAAGGUAGUGUAGUUAACACCUGCAUUAUUUGACGUUAGCGACAGAAGAAGCACCGGCUAACUCCGUGCCAGCAGCCGCGGUAAUACGGAGGGUGCGAGCGUUAAUCGGAAUUACUGGGCGUAAAGCGCAUGCAGGUGGUUUGUUAAGUCAGAUGUGAAAGCCCGGGGCUCAACCUCGGAAUUGCAUUUGAAACUGGCAGACUAGAGUACUGUAGAGGGGGUAGAAUUUCAGGUGUAGCGGUGAAAUGCGUAGAGAUCUGAAGGAAUACCGGUGGCGAAGGCGGCCCCCUGGACAGAUACUGACACUCAGAUGCGAAAGCGUGGGGAGCAAACAGGAUUAGAUACCCUGGUAG
rnacentral:rRNA from 1 species